rnacentral:rRNA from 1 species
CCUUACCUACUCUUGACAUCCAGAGAAGCCAGCGGAGACGCAGGUGUGCCUUCGGGAGCUCUGAGACAGGUGCUGCAUGGCCGUCGUCAGCUCGUGUUGUGAAAUGUUGGGUUAAGUCCCGCAACGAGCGCAACCCUUAUCCUUGUUUGCCAGCGAGUAAUGUCGGGAACUCCAGGGAGACUGCCGGUGAUAAACCGGAGGAAGGUGGGGACGACGUCAAGUCAUCAUGGCCCUUACGAGUAGGGCUACACACGUGCUACAAUGGCGCAUACAGAGGGCAGCCAACUUGCGAAAGUGAGCGAAUCCCAAAAAGUGCGUCGUAGUCCGGAUUGGAGUCUGCAACUCGACUCCAUGAAGUCGGAAUCGCUAGUAAUCGUAGAUCAGAAUGCUACGGUGAAUACGUUCCCGGGUCUGUACACACCGA